UACGGGAGGCAGCAGUAGGGAAUUUUGCGCAAUGGGGGAAACCCUGAUGCAGCGACGCCGCGUGAGUGAAGAAGUAUUUCGGUAUGUAAAGCUCUAUCAGCAGGGAAGAUAAUGACGGUACCUGACUAAGAAGCACCGGCUAAAUACGUGCCAGCAGCCGCGGUAAU
rnacentral:rRNA from 1 species